ACUCAGCUCCCUUUCUUGCCACUACUGUGUUAUGGCCUGGAAAAACUCAUGGAACAAGAUGGUAGCCAGAGCCCUCUGAUACUAAGGAAGAUGUAGGGGAAUCCCUGCUAAGGGCACUUUGCCAACAAGGAUAAGAUGUUUUGCUUAAUAAACAAAUAAAAUAAUAAAGACUACAUCCAACCAGAUACGGACACAAACAAGCACACUCUUCCACUAUCAGUUCUCACCAGAGGACUCUG
rnacentral:lncRNA from 1 species